AGACAGGUGGUGCAUGGUUGUCGUCAGCUCGUGUCGUGAGAUGUUGGGUUAAGUCCCGCAACGAGCGCAACCCCUACGUUUAGUUGCUAACGCGUGAAGGCGAGCACUCUAGACGAACUGCCGUUGACAAAACGGAGGAAGUGGGGAUGACGUCAAAUCAUCAUGCCCCUUAUGUUCUGGGCUACACACCGUGCUACAAUGGCCGGUACAGACGGACGCAAAGCCGCGAGGCGGAGCAAAUCCGAAAAGCCGGUCUCAGUUCGGAUUGCAGGCUGCAAUUCGCCUGCAUGAAGUCGGAAUCGCUAGUAAUCGCAGGUCAGCAUACUGCGGUGAAUACGUUCCCGGGCCUU
rnacentral:rRNA from 1 species